rnacentral:rRNA from 1 species
UACGGAGGGGGCGAGCGUUGUUCGGAAUUAUUGGGCGUAAAGGGUGCGUAGGCGGUUUGGUAAGUCUACGUGUGAAAUCUCCGGGCUCAACUGGAAGCCUGCACGAGAAACUGCCGGGCUGAGUGCGGUAGGGGUAGACGUGGAAUUCUGGUGAGCGGUGAAAUGCGCAGAUCUAGGGAGGAACACCGGUGGCGAAGGCGGGCUCUGGGCCGUAACUGACG